UACGGGGGGGGCAAGCGUUGUUCGGAAUUACUGGGCGUAAAGGGCUCGUAGGUGGCCAACUAAGUCGGACGUGAAAUCCCUCGGCUUAACCGGGGAACUGCGUCCGAUACUGGAUGGCUUGAGUUUGGGAGAGGGAUGCGGAAUUCCAGGUGUAGCGGUGAAAUGCGUAGAUAUCUGGAGGAACACCGGUGGCGAAGGCGGGUCUCUGGGCCGAAAUUGACGCUGAGGAGCGAAAGCGUGGGGAGCAAACAGG
rnacentral:rRNA from 1 species